UGCUUUCUGAAAUCUGGCUAAGUCCCC
rnacentral:piRNA from 1 species